CAGCCGCCACGGGAAUACGUAGGUGGCAAGCGUUGUCCGGAAUUAUUGGGCGUAAAGGGCUCGCAGGCGGUUUCUUAAGUCUGAUGUGAAAGCUCCCGGCUCAACCGGGGAGGGUCAUUGGAAACUGGGAAACUUGAGUGCAGAAGAGGAGAGUGGAAUUCCACGCGUAGCGGUGAAAUGCGUAGAGAUGUGGAGGAACACCUGUGGCGAAGGCGACUCUCUGGUCUGUAACUGACGCUGAGGAGCGAAAGCGUGGGGAGCGAACAGGAUUAGAUACCCCGGUAGUCCAUGUCUCUUAUAC
rnacentral:rRNA from 1 species